CGAGGAUGAGGAUGUGGGUGCGGUCACCCAAGAGGUUGCUGAUGAUAUGACCUUGGGGACGUACCGGGCUCGGUCUGCAUACGAGUUGAAGCCUAGGAGGGGAAUCAACAAGUACACACCUGAAGACUUCACCCAAAGAGGCAAAAGGACGGUCGGCACCUCGCGGAUGGCGGCUUUGGAUGACUAUUUGGAUGACGAUGUCGAACCGGAGGCGGAGCCGGAGCUGGAGCGGGUUCCUCUUCCUAGGAAGGUGAAGAAGAUAAGCGUCAAGAGGGGGGGAGGACCCAGCAAGCGUGGAAAGCACUAGUCAUCUUAGUUUUUUUAUAAUGUUGAACUUCGAGUGCGAAUUGUUAUGUCGUUGAACUUGGAGUGGUCGUACCUUUUAUGUCGUUGAACUUGGAGUGGUGGUAGCUCUAUGGUCAACUGGAACUUAUUGUGAUGGUUCUUUUCUAAGAAAUGAUGUCUUUUGUGAA